UUUCGGUCACUAUUAGCAUGGUAAUCUGGAUACUUUUCCCUUAAACAACGCCUCUACUCUGGCUACUCCCCACCACGGCUUUCUUGCCUUACCGGUUUCACCUUUAGGAAGUCAUAAUUCUUAGGGAUUUUUCUCUUUUUCCACUUUUCUAAUAAACUUCUUAACAUGCUAUUUUUUGAAUAAUUCUACUAUAAAGUAACUAACAUGAACUUAUUUUAUCAUAUCAUGAUUGUCAGGAAUUUAUGAAUUUAGCUAUUCAUAAUUGUAAAUAAAUAUAUCUGUUCUGGUAGGUUUGAUAAUUCUGGGCUUUGUUUAUCCAUAGCUUUUCCUUGGAAAUAUAUCUGAUUUUUAUUAAAUAUUCAAAAGUUUGUUUACAAAGGAGAUGACUUGCUUUCAAC
rnacentral:lncRNA from 1 species